GCAUGCUUUCCGCCACGCCCCUCCGAUUCAGCUGACUGUGAGGGCGAGCAAAGAUCGUAUAUUGUUAAAGAAGCACGUAUAAAGUAGCCCUUCUACUCGCCCCGCAAGUGAGAGCUGUUGCCGUUUUUUCUAAACUGGAGGACAUUUCUGGUACCGGGAGAAUGGCGUGGAGUGAGACGUCUUGUGUGUUUCUCCAGCUCGACAGCGCCUGUUAGGAUGCAAGAAAACUAAGCAGCAGUUAACUACGAGUUUUGCAGUACUUUUUUCCCCAACAAGAUUCAGUAACAGAUACUGUGUAACUGAUUAAUGCCAAAUACAACGUACCAACUAUACAAUCCACACUCCAAAUACAGAUUGUACCUGACGUGUGAGUCUAAUGGUGGCUACCCAAAAGGUCAACUUCGCUGGUUUGAUCAGGACAACAAAGACUGGACAAAGAGCUCUAAAAUGGAGGCCAAGCUGACAGAAAGUGGUCUGUUUCACCUCUCUAGCAAGCUGAGUUUGCUGCAAGGAUCGGUUUUCUCCAAAUAUACCUGCGUGGUGUUCAAUGCCAGUGGAGGCAAAGAGGAUGAGGCCACAUUUGAAGUUCUAAAAGAACCAGAAACUUGAGAAGUCGCUGCCUUCAAAUGGGGUCGUGUUUACCGCCUUCACAAGAAGAGUCCAUGUGAACGCCACCCUCUAGUGGUAGACACAUCCUUGUUAGUGGAACACUAGUUGUGGCGUAUUGGCUGGCGUUUUCAGACCAUGGAAGUUCAUUUUUCGGUGGAUGCAGUAGAUGGCUGAUGCACUCCUGUCUCAAACAGUGCAACAACACUAAAAGCAAAGAAGAAUAGAUCAAUUUCCUCUUUUGACCUCCUUGAUGAUGUUCUCUGUGAUAAACAUAUAAAUAGUGUCUUUCGGUGAAGCGAUGCUUGAACCUCAUACAGGCCCUGGGCAGCUCCUCAGAGUGUUGUGGGUUUUUACUCUGCCCAGAGUAGGUGGAUCCUCCUUCCAAUGAGACCCUUUCGUACUCAAUCUACUAGACUUCUGAUGUCUCAUCAGAGGAAUCCUCUAUUCCAUCAGUGUAGUCUUCAUGUGGGGCUACCGAAACAACCAGCAUUGAAUACACUGGGAAAGUUUACAUAGAGGUGCAUCUGUGUGUCCUUGUAGUUGACGUAGUCAAUUGCAUUAAUGACGUAGUGUUGAAUGAACAGAAGGGACAUUGUGGGCUAUAAAAGACGAUGCAGGGGGCUCUGAAAAGCAGUUUGUUCCAGGACCUCUCGGGUAUACUUUUUG